rnacentral:piRNA from 2 species
UGAUAAGGUUGGCCAGUUAAUGAUGG